AUACGGAGGAUCCGAGCGUUAUCCGGAUUUAUUGGGUUUAAAGGGUGCGCAGGCGGCCAUUUAAGUCAGCGGUUAAAUCGUGGGGCUCAACCCCAUUCUGGCGUUGAUACUGGGUGGCUUGAUUGCGGUCGAGGUUGGCGGACUUCGUUGGGUAGCGGGGAAAUGCAUAGAUAUGACGAAGAACACCGAUUGCGUAGGCAGCUGACCAGACCGCAAAUGACGCUCAUGCACGAAAGUGCGGGGAUCGAACAGGAUUAGAUACCCUGGUAGUCCGCACAGUAAACGAUGAAUACUUGUUUUCGGCGAUAUAAUGUCGGAGGCAAAGCGAAAGCGAUAAGUAUUCCACCUGGGGAGUACGCCGGCAACGGUGAAACUCAAAUGAAUUGACGGGG
rnacentral:rRNA from 1 species